rnacentral:rRNA from 1 species
UACAGAGGUCCCAAGCGUUGUUCGGAUUCACUGGGCGUAAAGGGUGCGUAGGUGGCCAGGUAAGUCUGAUGUGAAAUCUCGGAGCUCAACUCCGAAACUGCAUUGGAUACUAUCUGGCUGGAGGGUCGGAGGGGGGACUGGAAUUCUCGGUGUAGCAGUGAAAUGCGUAGAUAUCGAGAGGAACACCAGUGGCGAAGGCGGCUAUCUGGGUCGUUUCUGACGCUGAGGCGCGAAAGCGUGGGGAGCAAACAGG